GGGACCAUAGCUCAACGGUCAGAGCAGUCGGCUCAUAACCGAUUGGUUGCAGGUUCGAAUCCUGCUGGUCCCA
rnacentral:tRNA from 1 species